GACCUCUUGAGGCACAGGAGGAAGAGGAUGCACCUCAUUCCCUUUUAGACCACGAACCAUUUCUUGUCACUGAUGGUGGAAAAAGAGGACCGUGGGAGAUAAACUAUCCUUUCAGAGGCAUCAGAGAACCUUUAAGGAGUGACCAGAAUAUCUCCCUUGUAACUCAGAACACAGGUAAAACGACUAGUAGCACCGAGGUUGAGGUUAUGAACGAACAAAGUUCCAUCGACCAGAAUUCAUCUGAGGAGAGUACGUCUGGACAAAUUUCUUCUGAGGAGACCUCGUCGGAGCAAAGUGAGCAGGGUGCGCCCGUGGUUUCUGGGCAAACUGAAUAUGAGGGGGCGAACUGGAUUGCACCGGUCCCUGAGAGAUAG